rnacentral:rRNA from 1 species
GACGUAGGGCGCGAGCGUUGUCCGGAUUUAUUGGGCGUAAAGAGCUCGUAGGCGGCUUGUCGCGUCGACUGUGAAAACCCGCGGCUCAACUGCGGGCUUGCAGUCGAUACGGGCAGGCUAGAGUUCGGUAGGGGAGACUGGAAUUCCUGGUGUAGCGGUGAAAUGCGCAGAUAUCAGGAGGAACACCGAUGGCGAAGGCAGGUCUCUGGGCCACUACUGACGCUGAGAAGCGAAAGCAUGGGGAGCGAACAGG